rnacentral:rRNA from 1 species
GAUUUUGAUCCUGGCUCAAAGCGAACGCUGGCGGCAGGCUUAACACAUGCAAGUCGAGCGGGCGUAGCAAUACGUCAGCGGCAGACGGGUGAGUAACGCGUGGGAACGUACCUUUUGGUUCGGAACAACACAGGGAAACUUGUGCUAAUACCGGAUAAGCCCUUACGGGGAAAGAUUUAUCGCCGAAAGAUCGGCCCGCGUCUGAUUAGCUAGUUGGUGAGGUAACGGCUCACCAAGGCGACGAUCAGUAACUGGUCUGAGAGGAUGAUCAGCCACAUUGGGACUGAGACACGGCCCAAACUCCUACGGGAGGCAGCAGUGGGGAAUAUUGGACAAUGGGCGCAAGCCUGAUCCAGCCAUGCCGCGUGAGUGAUGAAGGCCCUAGGGUUGUAAAGCUCUUUUGUGCGGGAAGAUAAUGACGGUACCGCAAGAAUAAGCCCCGGCUAACUUCGUGCCAGCAGCCGCGGUAAUACGAAGGGGACUAGCGUUGCUCGGAAUCACUGGGCGUAAAGGGUGCGUAGGCGGGUCUUUAAGUCAGGGGUGAAAUCCUGGAGCUCAACUCCAGAACUGCCCUUGAUACUGAGGAUCUUGAGUUCGGGAGAGGUGAGUGGAACUGCGAGUGUAGAGGUGAAAUUCGUAGAUAUUCGCAAGAACACCAGUGGCGAAGGCGGCUCACUGGCCCGAUACUGACGCUGAGGCACGAAAGCGUGGGGAGCAAACAGGAUUAGAUACCCUGGUAGUC